GAUGAAGAACGCAGCGAAAUGCGAUACGUAAUGUGAAUUGCAAAUUCAGUGAAUCAUCGAGUCUUUGAACGCACAAUGCGCCCCCUGGUAUUCCGGGGGGCAUGCCUGUCCGAGCGUCAUUGCUGCCCUCAAGCACGGCUUGUGUGUUGGGCCCCGUCCUCCGAUCCCGGGGGACGGGCCCGAAAGGCAGCGGCGGCACCGCGUCCGGUCCUCGAGCGUAUGGGGCUUUGUCACCCGCUCUGUAGGCCCGGCCGGCGCUUGCCGAUCAACCCAAAUUUUUUAUCCAGGUUGACCUCGGAUCAGGUAGGGAUACCCGCUGAACUUAAGCAUAUCAAUAAGCGGAGGA
rnacentral:misc_RNA from 1 species